ensembl:snRNA U6 U6 spliceosomal RNA
GUGCUCCCUUCGGCAGCACAUAUACUAAAAUUGGAACGAUACAGAGAUUAGCAUGGCCCCUGCGCAAGGAUGACACACAAAUUCGUGAAGCGUUCCAUAUUUUU